CGAAUGAGGAGAUUCAUCGUCAGCUUAUUCAGUAUUAAUGCAGGCUAUGAUGUGAUAAUAGAAUCCUUGUGGUCACUAGAUUAUACUUGCUUGUAUUAUUUUUGCUGGGUAUGUCGGCGUGCACUUCUCCUCUAGUAGAACGUCGCAACCCGUUGGAUGUUUAUCUAUGGCUUGAAUGGUAGCCUUUGAUAUUUUUUAUAUUAAAGACCUUCGAUGUCCUGAUAAACUGUUUGACGGUAUACAUAUGGUAUUGAGCCGCAAUUAUUUGCGUUAGACUUGCCGCAAGUAUGACUUUAUUCUAGUAGUGCGGAUCUAAUGCCGUCGCUGGACAAAGUCUGCUGUUAGCUGUGUAAUGUCUUAACUGGCUUAUUUACGGUUAGCGAUG
rnacentral:rRNA from 1 species